rnacentral:snRNA from 1 species
GUGCUCGCUUUGGCAGCACAUAUACUACAAUUGGAAGAUUAGCAUGGCCCCUGUGCAAGGAUGAAAUACCCUCAAAUCAUCUACAUAUUCUCUUU